UACGGGGGGUGCGAGCGUUGUCCGGAAUUAUUGGGCGUAAAGGGCUCGUAGGCGGUUCGUCACGUCGGGAGUGAAAACUCGGGGCUUAACCCCGAGCCUGCUUCCGAUACGGGCAGACUAGAGGUAGGCAGGGGAGAGCGGAACUCCUGGUGUAGCGGUGGAGUGCGCAGAUAUCAGGAAGAACACCGGUGGCGAAGGCGGCUCUCUGGGCCUUACCUGACGCUGAGGAGCGAAAGCGUGGGUAGCGAACAGG
rnacentral:rRNA from 1 species